UACAGAGGUCUCAAGCGUUGUUCGGAUUCAUUGGGCGUAAAGGGCGCGUAGGCGGCGCGGUAAGUCGGAUGUGAAAUCUUGGAGCUUAACUCCGAAACUGCAUUCGAUACUGCCGUGCUUGAGGACUGGAGAGGAGACUGGAAUUUACGGUGUAGCGGUGAAAUGCGUAGAGAUCGUAAGGAAGACCAGUGGCGAAGGCGGGUCUCUGGACAGUUCCUGACACUGAGGCACGAAGGCCAGGGGAGCAAGCGGG
rnacentral:rRNA from 1 species